rnacentral:rRNA from 1 species
AGAGUUUGAUCCUGGCUCAGGAUGAACGCUAGCGGCAGGCCUAAUACAUGCAAGUCAAGGGGUAGCAAUACACCGGCGGACGGGUGCGUAACGCGUACACAACAUACCUUUAAGCGGGGGAUAGCAUUGGGAAACUGGUGGUAAUACCCCAUAACAUUGCGAGUUGGCAUUAACUUGCAAUUAAAGUUUCGGCGCUUAAAGAUUGGUGUGCGUCUGAUUAGCUAGUUGGCGGGGUAACGGCCCACCAAGGCGACGAUCAGUAGGGGGUGUGAGAGCAUGACCCCCCACAUGGGUACUGAGACACGGACCCAACUCCUACGGGAGGCAGCAGUAAGGAAUAUUGGACAAUGGGCGGAAGCCUGAUCCAGCCAUGCCGCGUGAAGGAUGAAGGCGCUCAGCGUUGUAAACUUCUUUUGGAUGGGGACAAUAAUCUCGAUUUAUCGGGACUUGAGGGUACCAUCAGAAUAAGCACCGGCUAACUCCGUGCCAGCAGCCGCGGUAAUACGGAGGGUGCGAGCGUUAUCCGGAAUUACUGGGUUUAAAGGGUGCGUAGGCGGAUGAUUAAGUCUAAGGUGAAAGUUUGUCGCUUAACGAUAAAAUUGCCUUGGAUACUGGUUAUCUUGAAUAAGGAUGAGGAUGGCGGAAUGUGGCAUGUAGCGGUGAAAUGCAUAGAUAUGCCAUAGAACACCAAUUGCGAAGGCAGCUAUCUGGUCUUUUAUUGACGCUGAGGCACGAAAGCGUGGGGAUCGAACAGGAUUAGAUACCCUGGUAGUCCACGCCGUAAACGAUGAUCACUCGUCAUUGGCGAUACACUGUCAGUGACCUAGCGAAAGCGUUAAGUGAUCCACCUGGGGAGUACGGCCGCAAGGCUGAAACUCAAAGGAAUUGACGGGGGCCCGCACAAGCGGUGGAGCAUGUGGUUUAA